rnacentral:rRNA from 1 species
AUUUAAUAGCUGCAGUAUAUUAACUGUACAAAGGUAGCAUAGUAAAUAGUCUUUUAAUUGAGGUCUGGAAUGAAUGGUUUAACAAGAAAAAUACUUUAUUGAUUUAAUUUAAUUAAUUUUAUUUUUUAGUUAAAAAGCUAAAAUACUUAAUUGGGACGAUAAGACCCUAUAGAUCUUAAAAUUUUUUAAGAUUAAAUUUAUUUUGGUUUAUUUAAUUUUUUGUUUAAAAAAUUUUUUAUUGGGGUGAUAGUUAAAUUUAUAAAACUUUAAUUUUUUAAAUCAUUAAAUUUAUGAUUUUAAUUUGAUCCUGAAGUUUGGAUUGUAAAAUCAAGAUACCUUAGGGAUAACAGCGUAAUAAAUUUGGAUAGUUCAUAUAGAUAAAUUUGAUUACGACCUCGAUGUUGAAUUAAUUUAAAUUCUUGAAGCAGAAAAUGAGAUUUUAGGUCUGUUCGACCUUUAAAAAAUUACA